rnacentral:misc_RNA from 1 species
GAUGAAGAACGCAGCGAAAUGCGAUAAGUAAUGUGAAUUGCAGAAUUCAGUGAAUCAUCGAAUCUUUGAACGCACCUUGCGCCCUUUGGCUAUUCUGAAGGGCAUGCCUGUUUGAGUAUCGCGAACACCUCAACUCUCAUGGUCUGCCAUGAUGAGCUUGGACUUUGGGGGUCUUGCUGGCCUACUGUCAGCUCCUCUCAAAUGAAUCAGCUUACCAGUGUUUGGUGGCACCACAGGUGUGAUAACUAUCUACGCUUGUGGUUUUCUGCCAGGUAACCUCCAGUGAUGGAGGUUCGCUGGAGCUCACAAAUGUCUCUCCUCAGCGAGGACAGCUUUUUGAACGUUUGAUCUCAAAUCAGGUAGGACUACCCGCUGAACUUAAGCAUACCAAUAAGCGGAGGA